rnacentral:tRNA from 1 species
GCGGGGAUGGCGGAAUUGGCAGACGCACUAGCUUGAGGUGCUAGCGGGUAACACCGUCGGGGUUCAAGUCCCCGUCUCCGCACCA